UCUCCGUUAUCCGGAGCAGUCCUCUUAGAGUUCCCCCUUGCGGGUGGCAACUAAGAAUAAGGGUUGCGCUCGUUGCGGGACUUAACCCAACACCUCACGGCACGAGCUGACGACAGCCAUGCAGCAUCUGUACUAGCUCCCCGAAGGGUCCUUCAUCUUUCGAGUCCGUACCACUAGCACGUCAAGCCUAGGUAAGGUUCUUCGCGUUGCCUCGAAUUAAGCAACAUGCUCCGCCGCUUGUGCGGGCCCCCGCCUAUUCCUUUGAGUUUUAACCUUGCGGCCGUAGUCCCCAGGCGGUGAACUUAAUGCGUUAGCUGCGGCACUGAUCGGGUCAAUCCGACCAACACCUAGUUCACAACGUUUAGGGCGUGGACUAC
rnacentral:misc_RNA from 1 species